GUUUAGUCUCUAAUUUCUGUAAUAAUAUAUUUGCAGGCUCAAUUAAUACUAUAAUUUUAACACUCGGUAUAGAUGAAAUACCUUCUAAAAAUGGCCAUCCUAUAUUAAUUAAUAUGAUUGUGAACAAUAUUAUGAAUAUCAAAAAUUAUUAUUAAUAUUUAAAAUAAAAAAAAAAAAAAAAAAAAAAAAAAAGAAAAUGAACUUACCAGUAGUAAACAUAUCACUUCUUCUUAAAUUUGUAAGUACACCAAGAAAUUCCCAAGAUUGAUAUGGAAAGAAACUGAAAUAUACUCCAGCUAUAAAUAAAUAAAUAUAUUUUAUAUAUAUAAUUUUUUAUUACAAAAAAAUAAAACAAAAAAUACUUACCACCAGAAUCUCCAGUAAAUACUUCACCGUUAGCAGCAACAACUACAUUUGAUACAGUUUGUGGAUUUUGAACAAUAGUUGAAACUAUUCCAUUUCCUUCAUUAAUAACAGUUUCAGGAUUUCUUCCGGGAACAAUAAUUGAAAUUAUAUUUGAAUUACAAUUUCCUGCACAAAAAUUUGUAUUCAUUAUAAUCAAAAUAUAAUUCUUC
rnacentral:antisense_RNA from 1 species